GUCCAAAAAAAAUCCUGAAUUUUGAGGUUUUUUUCAAUUCUACCUAAACUUUUAGUUUUAACAAAAAUACCAUGAACUUUUAAUUUGUUUGCAAUUGUAUUCUGUUGUCUAUUCUACUAUUAAUGCUAAUGGAUUUUGCCGUGUCAGCAUAGGAAAUGUUCAAAAAAAACUAGACUUUGCCUUUAUUUAUAAUUGUAUCCUGAACUUUUUUUUUUUUUAAAACAAAUGUACCUGAACUUUGAAUUUCAAUUGAACUCCAUCGUAAGUUGUCCCAUUCAAUACUAAUAGAGGUGUCAUGUCAACACUUUUAAUCCCAAAUUGAUACUUAUUAAACCUAAUUUACCGUAGAAGAAAAAAAUUUCAUUUCUAGCAAAACGGAUACUAUUUUCAUAAAAAAUGCAAAGAUUCA
rnacentral:misc_RNA from 1 species